rnacentral:lncRNA from 1 species
GCCGUCUUAGCUGCCGUGACUGCUGACUUAGCCUCCUUCCUCGCUAGCUUGUACUCUUUCCUGUUUACCCGCUUCUCCUCUUCGUCCUUACUCUCCACCAACUUGGCAUACGCCUCUUUCUUGGUCCCCACUUUCUUCUCCACCUCUUCAUUCCACCACCAAUCCCCCUGAUGGUGCCCGGCCCGGCCCCUAGAAACCCCCAACACCUCACUUGCAUUCUCCCUGAUGCACCUAGCCGCCCUAUCCCACAUAUUAUCCACGUCUCCCCUACACUCCCACACCCCC